rnacentral:tRNA from 1 species
GUUUUAGUGGUGUAAUUAAACACAUUAUAUUUUCACUAUAAAACUGGGAAUUUUCCCCUAAAAUU